rnacentral:sRNA from 12 species
UCCGACGAGCUGAACGCUUUCGAAGGAAAGCUUGACCAGCUAAUCUUCUGCAACGCCAUUACGAGGACUGCCCUUAGAGGCUCAUGGCGAUAGGUCACCCCGCCGGUCGGUCAGCUGCUUUUGCCGAA